AACGCACGAGACCUGCGGACCUGCGGAGGGAUCAUUAUUGAAUGUCCUCGAUGGGUUGUCGCUGGCUCUUCUGGGCAUGUGCACACCUGUCUUGACUCCAUUCAUCCACCUGUGCACAUUUUGUAGUUCUUUUGGGGCUGAGGAAAUGGCAUGUCAGUUGAAAGGCUGGAUCUGAGGUCUGCCCAGUAAUGGGGCUCUCCUCUUGGCCGUGGAACCUCCCUGGAAAGCUAUGUUUUUUAA
rnacentral:misc_RNA from 1 species